UGUCUUCAGGGCAGGGUGUAAUUCCCGAUCGGCGGUAUAGUCCGCGAGCGCUUCGCGCAGGAUUCGGUGCAAUUCCGAUACCGACAGUAUAGUCUGGAUGGAAGAAGGCA
rnacentral:ncRNA from 1 species